AACGCGAAGAACCUUACCUGGGCUCGAAAUGCAGAGGGAGAUGUCAGAAAUGACUUCGUCCGAAAGGACUUCUGUAUAGGUGCUGCAUGGCUGUCGUCAGCUCGUGCCGUGAGGUGUUUGGUUAAGUCCAGCAACGAGCGCAACCCUUAUCAUUAGUUGCCAACACGUAAGGUGGGGACUCUAAUGAGACUGCCUAGGUUAACUAGGAGGAAGGCGAGGAUGACGUCAAGUCCGCAUGGCCUUUAUGUCCAGGGCUACACACGUGCUACAAUGGUCGGUACAGAGGGCUGCAAGACCGUAAGGUGGAGCAAAUCCCAGAAAGCCGAUCUCAGUUCAGAUUGUGGUCUGCAACUCGACCACAUGAAGUCGGAAUUGCUAGUAAUGGCGUGUCAGCAAUAACGCCGUGAAUACGUUCCCGGGCCUUGUA
rnacentral:rRNA from 1 species